rnacentral:snRNA from 1 species
GUGCUCGCUUCGGCAGCACAUAUGCUAGAGUUGGAGCGAUACAGAGAAGAUUAGCAUGGCCCCUGCGCAAGGAUGACACGCAGGUUCGUGAAGCGUUCCAUAUUUAA